AAGAGCAGAAGUUUACUGCGGUGUAGUUGGUGUGUAAAUUGUAGGUAGCUGCUACUAACUUCGUCGUUUGAUUGAAGGUAUGGGCGCAAAACACUUCUCUAAUUAUGAUUUUCUGUGUAAAUGUUGUAGUUGUGACUUUUGUUUGUUGUUAUGAAGUUUUAGUUUAUGUAAUUUAGGGUUUUCCAGUGAAUGUAGCGAUUUAGGGUUACCUGUGUUGUUCAUUUGUUUAAUUGGUAAAAAUUGUUAGUGGGCGUCGUCCUAAAACCCUUAAUUGGUUGAAUUUGUUGUUAUGAUGUUUUAGUUUAUGUGAUUUACGGUUAUCCAGUGAAAAUAACGAAGUAGGGUUUCCUUUGUUGUGCAUUUUUAUUGUUGGAAUUAAUUUGAGGAUGUGAAACCCGUAAUUGGAAUGAAAUGAAUUUGUUGUUAAGAUGAUUUAGAUUAUGUAAUGCUUUGUUUACCACUGAAGAUUUGCGACCCGUUGUUGUUUAACUGUAAUGACCAAGCGAAAUUGUUUUGGGUGUGGUGGUAGGAUUGUUGAAUUAAAGUAUUUAAUUUAAUUUGAAUCCAUGUAAAUGAGUGAUUAAUUUUGAGUUUUUUUUUUUUUUUUUUUUUUUUUUUUUUUUUUUGUGGUGGAAGACGUAUUGAAUUAUGAACAAGUGAUAUUGUUACAUUAAGAAAUUAUGACUGUUGUGGUGUGUAUAUGUGAAUAUAGUGGAGAAAUUACAUGUGAAGAGUUAAGGAUUUGUUGAAAUGGUUUUAUGUAGUUGGGAAAUCCCAUUUAUCGAGCGUUCAUUUGAACUUGGCAGGAGGAAAUAAUGCUGCCGAUGAAGAGCAAGGGAUCAGGAAUGGUGAGUUAUUGUUUGUUGAAAUUAAAAGAUUGUAUGUUUGCUGGAUUUGCUUAGUGGUGGUUGUGUGUUGUAGUUGAUUUUUGGUGGCAAAUAUUUGUGCUUGUGUAGGUGCGGUCGAAAGCCGUGAAUGAAGAGGUGUCUAAAAAGAAAGCAACUAGUAAAGGGAAGAAGAAACUGAAAUCUAAUCCAGUUUUUGAGGUAGAGUAUUUAAAGGGCUUUGAUGAAGCUGGUUCUGAUGAUCGUGGUUAUAUUGAAUCUAGUAGUGAUGAAGCUGAUUCUGAUGAUGCUGUUUCCACAUCUGGUGAUUAUGCGGAAGAUGAGGAUGCGGAGGACGAUGGUCAAGGUAGUGAGGAAGAACUAGAACAGGACAAAGUGAGCUACCAGGAUCUCCUGAUCAAGUUAUUGCGGGAAAAGGUUGAGAAAGGGAAGCGCAAGCGAGGUCAUAUUGAGAAAAGGACAGGAAAAAGGGGCAAGCUAAAGGUCGAGAAGACGAAGGGAGAAGUGGCGAAGGAGAAAGGGGUUGUCGUUAAAACCCAAUCAAGAAGUACGCAGAAGGCCCCAAAUUUGCAUGGUGUGAAGGCUUUUGCAACUGCAGUGAAGAAGUUUGAUGACUC